ACUAAACUUUGAAAACUUUAGCUCAGCUCUGUUUUGCUCAAGGAAAGUCUUAAAAAAGGGAAUUUUUUUGUAAGUUCUUAAAUGUUUCUUUUUUUCUUAGGUGUUUUACUAUAAUCAGAGGAUGAGUUAUUUCUAGAGCUCAUAGCUAUAGGAAUGUAAAAAUAACUUUUCUCUAUACAGUCAGACUACUGUAUAUUUUUAUAAAAUUGAGCAUUUUGGCUAUCUACAUCAAAUCUUUGGCAUGUUUUCCUUGGCUUAUGUGACCUGUCACAUUCUGAAUGUAUGAAAACAACCACCAUGCUCAGAAUCUACCACAUUCUUUGUAUUGAUAGAAUGAUUAACUUUAGUAUUUGAAUGAUGUGUUGUUCAUAAAACUUUCUUUGGCAUAAUAUAAUUUGAAUUAAGUGUAUGGGGAGUGGCAUAUUUAGUGAUUGAGCAGGCAGAACAGUCCAUCAGAAAUUAUACAUAAAUUCAGUGCCAUUCUGAUGAAAAGCAACAUUUAUUUUGAAAAGGGGGCUGUUAGAUCAUAGUCUGUGCAGACUGAGUUGCUGAGAAUCACAGAAAACAGUCUCUAUGAGUGGCUGGACAUGGAUAGUUCUCCUGAGAUGGACUAAAGUAGCCAGAAUCUUAUGGGAUAUAAAUGGUGCCAUGUUACAGAAAAGGAUUACAGAAUUAAAUCAAUUGACUACAGUAGAAAAGGUUGUAGAUUGUAGGAAAUUCCCGUCUGAGACAGGCUGGGUUGUGUUUCUCUUAGAAAGGGUGCUUUACUUGCUCUGUAUUUUAGCAUGAAUGGUAACUUGAGAGAGAAUAGAGCUCUCCAGAUAAAAGAUCUAAGUGGAAACACAUGGCACCUGAGGAAGUUUUAGGUGGCUAUCUAUAAAAUUUUUAAAUGAAAAGACCCUUCAUGGACAGGGCAUGC
rnacentral:lncRNA from 1 species